UUAUGCUAAUAAGAGCGUAUGGUGGAUGCCUUGGCACUAAGAGCCGAUGAAAGACGUGAUAAGCUGCGAUAAGCUUCGGGGAGGGGCAAAUACCCAUCGAUCCGAAGAUUUCUGAAUGGGGAAACCCACUGGAGCAGACCUCCAGUAUCCCUGACCCAAUUCAUAAGUCAGGGAAGGGAACCCGGUGAACUGAAACAUCUAAGUAGCCGGAGGAAGAGAAAACAACAUGUGAUUCCGGAAGUAGCGGCGAGCGAAACCGGAAAAGCCCAAACCAGAGUGCGUGCACUCUGGGGUUCGGACCGCGUAAUUGAUUCUUUGCGAAUAGCAGAAUGGUUUUGGGAAAGCCAGCCAAAGAGGGUGAAAGCCCCGUAAGCGAAAUUCAAGAAGACAUGGCGGUAUCCAGAGUACCACGAGACACGAGAAACCUUGUGGGAAUAAGCGGGGACCACCCCGUAAGGCUAAAUACUACUUAGUGACCGAUAGCGCAUAGUACUGUGAAGGAAAGGUGAAAAGGACCCCGGGAGGGGAGUGAAAGAGAACCUGAAACCAUAUGUUUACAAGCUGUGGAAGCACCAUAUGAGUGCGACCGCGUACUUUUUGUAGAACGGUCCGGCGAGUUACGCUGGCUGGCAAGGUUAAGGACUGUAUGUCUGGAGCCGAAGGGAAACCAAGUCUGAAUAGGGCGAAUAUAGUCAGUCGGAGUAGACCCGAAACCGGGUGAUCUAUCCAUGUCCAGGUUGAAGUUGCCGUAAAAGGCAAUGGAGGACCGAACCCACAUCCGUUGAAAAGGGUGGGGAUGAGGUGUGGAUAGGGGAGAAAUUCCAAUCGAACCCGGAGAUAGCUGGUUCUCCUCGAAAUAGCUUUAGGGCUAGCCUCAUAUAAAAGUCUUGCGGAGGUAGAGCACUGAAUUUCCUAGGGGGCGUCAAAGCUUACCAAAGAAUAUCAAACUCCGAAUGCCGUGUAGAUGAUGUAUGGGAGUCAGACUGUCCGAGAUAAGUUGGAUGGUCAAAAGGGAAAGAGCCCAGACCUACAGCUAAGGUCCCAAAAUGUGUGUUAAGUGGAAAAGGAUGUGAGAUUUCAGAGACAACUAGGAUGUUGGCUUAGAAGCAGCCAUACAUUAAAAGAGUGCGUAAUAGCUCACUAGUCGAGAGGUCUUGCGCCGAAAAUGUCCGGGGCUAAAACACACUACCGAAGCUUAGGAAUUGAUGAAUGUCAAUUGGUAGAGGAGCAUUCUUAGAGAGACGAAGCUGUACCGUAAGGAGCAGUGGAUUUCUAAGAAGAGAGAAUGCCGGAAUGAGUAGCGAGAGGAAGGUGAGAAUCCUUCCGGCCGAAUAUCUAAGGUUUCCAGAGUAAAGCUGAUCUGCUCUGGGUAAGUCGGGGCCUAAGGCGAGGUCGAAAGACGUAGUCGAUGGACAACAGGUUGAGAUUCCUGUACUGUAACAUGACAGAACUGUGGGGACGCAGAGAGAGAGCGUAAGCCGGGAAUGGAAAAUCCGGUGCAAGCGAGGUAGGAGUAUAUCAGGCAAAUCCGGUAUACAAUCCGAAGACGUGAUGCGGAGCGAAUUAAAGUAGCGAAGUACGUGAGCUAACUGCCAAGAAAAGCCGCUAUUGUUCAUGUUAUACCCGUACCGUAAACCGACACAGGUGGAUGAGGAGAGAAUCCUAAGGCCGACGGGAGAAGCAUUGUUAAGGAACUCGGCAAAAUGACCCCGUAACUUCGGGAGAAGGGGUGCCUGGGAAACCAGGCCGCAGAGAAUUGGCCCAAGCAACUGUUUAGCAAAAACACAGGUCUAUGCAAAACCGAAAGGUGAGGUAUAUGGGCUGACGCCUGCCCGGUGCUGGAAGGUUAAGGGGAGAGGUUAGCGCAGCUUUGAACUUAAGCCCCAGUAAACGGCGGCCGUAACUAUAACGGUCCUAAGGUAGCGAAAUUCCUUGUCGGGUAAGUUCCGACCCGCACGAAAGGCGUAAUGAUUUGGGCACUGUCUCAACAAUGCACCCGGUGAAAUUGAAAUACCAGUGAAGAUGCUGGUUACCUGCGCCAGGACGGAAAGACCCCAUGGAGCUUUACUCCAGCUUGAUACUGGGAUUCGGUAUUGCAUGUACAGGAUAGGUGGGAGGCUAAGAACCUAUGACGCCAGUCAUAGGGGAGCCAAUGUUGGGAUACCACCCUUGCAGUAUUGGGUUUCUAACCAUCAGCCGUGAUCCGGCUGGGGGACAAUGUCAGGUGGGGAGUUUGACUGGGGCGGUCGCCUCCGAAAGGGUAUCGGAGGCGCUCAAAGGUCUUCUCAGAAUGGUUGGAAACCAUUCGCAGAGUGCAAAGGCAUAAGAAGGCUUGACUGUGACACCGACGGGUGGAGCAGGUACGAAAGUAGGACUUAGUGAUCCGGUGGUAUAAAGUGGGAUUGCCAUCGCUCAACGGAUAAAAGCUACCCUGGGGAUAACAGGCUUAUCACUCCCAAGAGUUCACAUCGACGGAGUGGUUUGGCACCUCGAUG
rnacentral:rRNA from 1 species